GUCAAAGUGCAAACACCGGAGCUGGACAGUCAAGGAGGGCAGCGGGGUCCGGGAGGUAGCGUGGGGGGUCUCGCGGCCAGCGCCCUCACCUCAGAUGCCAGCAAGGACUGAAACAAGCCGGAAGCUACAAGGAUCCCUAAUGAAGCCCAGCACCACUCCAGGGCACCCUGCAGCAGGUUAAAGCACAGCACUAAGAAGCUAAAGCCACUUCAG